rnacentral:tRNA from 1 species
GCGGGGCUCGCCGUCUGGUGACGGCACCUGCCUCACAAGCAGGACAAGGAGAGUUCGAUCCUCUCGCCCCGCA